GACGUAGGUGACAAGCGUUGUCCGGAUUUACUGGGCGUAAAGAGCGCGCAGGCGGUCGUUCAAGUCGAGUGUGAAAGCCCCCGGCUCAACUGGGGAGGGUCAUUCGAUACUGAUCGACUCGAAGGCAGGAGAGGGUAGUGGAAUUCCCGGUGUAGUGGUGAAAUGCGUAGAUAUCGGGAGGAACACCAGUGGCGAAGGCGACUACCUGGCCUGUUCUUGACGCUGAGGCGCGAAAGCUAGGGGAGCAAACGGG
rnacentral:rRNA from 1 species